GGUCUUGGUCGGGAAACG
rnacentral:snRNA from 1 species